rnacentral:rRNA from 1 species
UACGGGGGGGGCAAGCGUUGUUCGGAAUUACUGGGCGUAAAGGGCUCGUAGGUGGCCAACUAAGUCAGACGUGAAAUCCCUCAGCUUAACUGGGGAACUGCGUCUGAUACUGGAUGGCUUGAGUUUGGGAGAGGGACGCGGAAUUCCAGGUGUAGCGGUGAAAUGCGUAGAUAUCUGGAGGAACACCGGUGGCGAAGGCGGCAUCCUGGACCGAUACUGACGCUGAUGAGCGAAAGCCAGGGGAGCAAACGGG